rnacentral:rRNA from 1 species
GACGAACGCUGGCGGCGUGCUUAACACAUGCAAGUCGAACGGACAGGCCCCUUUCGUGCUCCUCUGACGGCGAACGGGGGAGUAACAGGAGCAUGACCUUCACUUAACUUCGGGACUACUUUAAGUAACUGGGGCCAGUACUAGUACGGAAUCAUAGCUGCAUCGGCGGGGUUGGAAAGUUUCGGCGGGUUUGGAUGGACUCGCUGCAUAUCAGCUUGCUGGUGGGGUUGUGGCUUACCGAGGCGGUGACGGGUAGCCGGCCUGAGUGGGCGACCGGCCACAUUGGGACUGAGAGACGGCCCAGACUCCGACGGGAGGCAGCAGGGCGGAAGAUUGCACAAUGAGCGCAAGCCGGGUGCAGAAGCGCCGCGGGCGGGAUGACGGCGUUCGGGUUGUAGACCGCAUGCAGAAGGGGCGAUGCUUGUCUUGACGGUACCUGCAGAAGAAGCAACGGCUAACUACGUG